GAUGAAGAACGCAGCGAAAUGCGAUACUUGGUGUGAAUUGCAGAAUCCCGUGAACCAUCGAGUCUUUGAACGCAAGUUGCGCCCGAAGCCAUUAGGCCGAGGGCACGCCUGCCUGGGCGUCACACGUCGUUGCCCCCCCAUCUACUCCUUCGGGAUUGCGGGGGGCGGAUGAUGGCCUCCCGUGCGCCUCGUCGCGCGGUUGGCAUAAAUGCCAAGUCCUCGGCGACGCACGCCACGACAAUCGGUGGUUGCGAAACCUCGGUUGCCCGUCGUGUGCGGUCGUCGCGCAUCGAGGGCUCGAAAAAAUUGCCGGGCUCCGGCUCGGCUUUCAACGCGACCCCAGGUCAGGCGGGGUUACCAGCUGAAUUUAAGCAUAUCAAUAAGCGGAGGA
rnacentral:misc_RNA from 1 species